CAGUUAAGUUCAGGAAAUGCUUCGCGUGUCGCGCUACGUGACGCGUUCCUCAUGUGCUGCGUUCCUCCUGCGACCGACCAGUACUUAAAGGAACUGGCCCACGUUGUCUCCUUCUCUAUCAUAUCAAGUCCUCUGGUGAGGUUGGAUGGGCAUGGAGAUGGUGUCUGGGAAACCAAAAUAUUCCACUCUACUUCAUUUAUGCAUAAUAUGGGCAGUCUUGAAUUUAAAUCCAAGUGUGUUGGUUUUUGCGUAAUAUUUAGCUUAAGGUGGCAUUGUUAACUGAUCAGCGUGUAGGAAUACGAAGGCCUAUGAAGCACGCGGUGAGCUUCGAGUCUUAAAGGUGGGGAAGGCGGCCGUACUACAGACAUGGUUCUGCAGACUGGUGCAGUGAAGGGUGGGGAAGCCGGCCGUACUACAGAAAUGGCUCUGCAGACUGGCGCUGUGAUGGGUGGGGAAGCCGGCCGUACUACAGAAAUGGCUCUGCAGACUGGCGCUGUGAUGGGUGGGGAAGGCGGCCGUACUACAGACAUGGUUCUGUAGACUGGUGAUGGGUGGGGAAGGCGGCUGUACUACAGACAUGGUUCUGCAGACUGGCGCAGUGAAGGGUUGGAAAGGCAGCCGCGUUUCAAAAAAAGGUUCUGCAGACUGCUGGAGUGAUCGAUGGACGUGUUGCACUCUGACCUGGUGACAUGCUAGUGAUGCUGGAGGUUCUUCAUGGUGGAAAAGGUUCUGCCAUAUGGAUGAUUCUCUGCCCAGGUGUGUAGACUCGUGAACAGUUUGAUGUGCGGCCCAUCGAUGUUGUGAUGAAAUCUUAAACUAAUGCUGGAAUUACCGGCAGAUUGUUUAGUGGUGAUAAAUAGUUUUCUGAACCUCCACAUGGUGACUUGUAUUGGUCCAUGGGUUUCUGUAUGGUACUAAUUGUACAUGUUCCUUCUAGAUGGAUGUGUUGGACUCUGGACCUGGUGACCUAGUGAUCCUUCAGAUGUUCUCAUGGUG